GAAGCCUUGAACGCUCCACGCGUCCGCAGCAGAAAAUGAGAGGGGGACGGGAACUUGUCCAAUGCGAAGCGCGAAAGUCCGCGGCCAUAACUUCGGCGGCUUUCUCGUGUCGCUUCGUUUUUCUUCUUGUCUCAUCGCUACUCUUUGUGCGGGGUCGUGAGACUGAAGGAGCUUCUGCGUCGGAGGCAAAAUGGCACGGUAAGAAAGUCCACCACAAGCAACUCGGACAUGCCAGACUUGUGCGUCUUGCCGGGCAGUCUUCGAGGAGGAGUCCCAGGCAUCUACCUCUGUGGUUCUUUUGAGCUCCUUUUCACAGAAGGAGCCCCCGAUGUUCACGGCCUGCCUCUCUUUUUGUUUCUCACACACAAAACUGCGCAACUCCACCGCAAAAAUCCCCUUCCUCUUCGCGUCCGCUUUCGUCCCUCGUGCUCGACUCCGCCGGGCUGUCCAUCCCUUCUGCCGCGUCUCUCUCGGUCUUUCUCUCCGUUUUUUCUUUUCUCUUCCAGGACCGCUUCUUGUCCGCAAGGCCCCCAGUGCCGCGAGCAUGUCCGCGUUACGGGACUCUCCAGUUCUCCGGGGAAACGUUUCCGAGCAGCCGUGGCUCUGCAGAGGGGCAGAGCAGUUUGUGCAGACCUACUGCGGACCGUGUGUUGCAGACUCUCAGUGCGCUCCCGGCGCAUUUUGUUGCCCGUAUUUAAAAGUUUGUGUCUCUUCACAAACGGAUCGUUGCUCCAAACCGUUUGCACGCUGUGAUCCCCCACUUCCCGCGUCGAAACCUGAAGAUGUCGACUUCGAUGUUUGGCGGAAACAGUGCCCAUUUGCAGAGUUGGAGACUUGGGUCACCUGCCCACCUCCAGGAUGGGUGCUCGGGGAUGACCUAACUGGAGAAAAACCAGAGAAACCAACGCCACAGCCACCGGGGGACCGCGAACUGCAUCAACCGUAAAAAGAAGUAGCCACUAGGAACUCGACAAGCAUUCGUAGCUCUGCGACCUCGGAGAACCAGCGGACGACGCUCGACUGAACGUGUCAGGGACGCGACGUUUGAGAGUCACAAGAAGAAAAUUCGCUGGUUUCGGCCAAUUUUCUUUUUCAAACACAACCCAGUGUGACUUUCUGCAUCUGCUCUGACGCGUGGAGACACUUUGGUUUUUCAGAUUCUGUCCUCGCCACUGUGGAGCACUGGGGGGCGAGUGUCACUGCUCUGCUGCCGAGAAAAGCCUCGAUUCCGUUCGAUCCGCGAGUUUUGUUUCUCCACCGUUUGCGUUUUCGUAGCAGAUGUACCUCCGUGGCAUCCAGUGACCCGAAUGCAUUGUUGCCCCUCCCAGUGUGCAUUCCGCGCUUUCCUUCGAGCUCAUUUAUACACAGACAAACGGAAUUUACAGUGUAAUCUGGAAUUACGCCUGCGUAGACUUCCGACUCUCGGUGGUGCAACACGAAAGGUUUCGUCUCGUGCGUUUCUGCUCUAAGCUACAGAGUUAGAUUCAUCGUGGCUUUUCUGCGAGUUUUGUUACGCGGCCUUUCUCCCAAUGCGACCCGCCUCCUCUUUUCUCCGUUUCGUCC
rnacentral:lncRNA from 1 species